UAGAGAUUAAUUCCUUCAAGGUUAUAGUAGUGGGUGUGGAGUGACAUAUGCUAAAAUUCAAGUUAUUGCAUCUGGUUCGGUGAAGUAGUUCUUUGAAACACAAAUUCUCAUGAAGCAAAAGUGAAAGAAAUGUAAUAGAAAGGAGUCUUAGAAUCAGUACUUCAGAAUUUGACAUGUGUGGCCUGCUGAUCUUCUCAAUCUCAAGACCUGUGAAACGAUUAAUUCUGUGAUGCUGCCAUACCUGCUGCGUUUUUCCAGCAUUUUAUGGUUUUCCUCAGAAGUAAGCCUGGUUGGUGAUAAUAGUAUCUAUGGAACUCAGAAGCAGUAAAGUGAUUGUAGGAGGCUACUUGUUAUCAAAUCCUGCAUGAUGAACAAUGGUUGAACUCUACCAGAAAAUGAUAGAUUUAUGAAAGAUUUUGGAACUGCACAUGAUGCCACAUAGGUGCAAAUACUGCUGCCUAAAAAAUCUGAGAGACUUAUUUUUGUUGCAUCAGCUAUUUUACUCCUAGAGAGGGACCAAAACACACAGGCCUCAGCAAGGCAAGGAGUCUUACUCCUUCAGUUUAUUAUGUCCAAUAGGUCGAUGGGAUGCAUCUAGUGUGUGGGUGAAGAAAGUUAGCUUGCUUUCUGCUUUUGUACUUGAGUUUGUUUCUCAUUUUCAGCCUGCACUGCUAGUUAACAGAGAACUCAAUUUGUAAGUCUCUCUUUCUGUCAGUACAUAGCCUUUCCAUCGGCAAGUCCUCAGCCGUGCCUGGAAACUGACUUCAGGCUAAAGCUUCAGAGGAACUUGGGGCAGGUAAGGCCCCCAGGCACGCAGUGUGCAGGCCCAUCAGCAUGUUGGACAUGCCCUCACAUUCAUGAAGGUGAUAUGUCAUCUUCACAGAAACUUCUGCAACAAAGCCAAUGCCAAAUGUAAUGCUUUUCACACUGUUGGAUCUAACUGGGGAUGAUAGAUGGGCAGGAUAGGUUCUCCAUAAAUAUUGCCCAGGCUUGCACCUUGGAGACACUCCAGUUUUGCUGCAGAACGUUAACACAAAACAGGAGACAGUAGUUACGAGUGUUAAGGCCAACUUGAUUGGCUUAGAGAAUGGGUGCUAUGGGCUGUCUCUGGCAGUGGGAGGGACAAUCAUGUCCCACUAGUCAGCCAUCAUCCAUCUCAAGAUGGGCAGCCCCUGACUAGUAAGAUGCUACAGUCCACCUGCUUCAGUUGGAACUUAAAUUCUUUGUUCAACAAGUGGACAGGAUCAAUUGUACCAGGCAAACAAAUAAAAUAAACAAAAAGAAAGAAGAUGCCAACUCUUUAAUUGGCAAGCUGGAAUGUCAGGACCAUGUACACUGGAUUGAUAGAUGACUUGCAGCUAGUCAAUAAUGUGCACAAAACAGCUUGAUUGACACAGAAUUGAUAGGCUAAAUAUGUCAUCUUCACAGAAACUUCUGCAACAAAACCAAUGCCAAAUGUAAUGCUUUGCACUCUGUUGGACACAACUGGGGAUGAUAUUUGGGCAGGACAGGUUCUCCAUAAAUAUUGCCCAGGCUUGCACCUUGGAGACACUCCAGUUUUGCUGCAGGAUGUUAACACAAAACAGGAGACAGUAGCUACGAGUGUUAGGACCAACUUGAUUGGCUUAGAGAAUGGGUGCUAUGGGCUGUCUCUGGCAGUGGGAGGGACAAUCAUGUCCCACUAGUCAGCCAUCAUCCAUCUCAAGACGGGCAGCCCCUGACUAGUAAGAUGCUACAGACCACCUGCUUCACCAGAUAGAUGAUGGCUAUAUACCCAAGACCUGGGUUACGACCUCCUAAGGUUUCAUACCCCCAUGACAAGGACACCUGUAGGCGAGAUAUGAAGAUGGACAUUGACACUGAAAACUGGGAGACAGCCACUGAUGGCUGUGACCUCUGGAGGCUGACUGUUUGGAAGGACAUUGAAAGAGGCGAGCAGAAAUGAAAAGGUCAGGUGAUCAAGAAGAGGGCCCAGAGAAAACAAAGGUUAAUGAAUCAUGCACCUUCUCAGCCCACUGCCUUCAUCUGCAGCAAAUGAGGCAAAGACUGCUAUGUCAAAAUGGGGCUCUUGAGCCACACCAGGUGAUGCUUAAUGCGCCAUUGAUCACUAUGGUGCAAACCGUUGUCUUAUGAGAUGAAAGGCUGCCACCAAAACAGCUAUCUAAAGUAUUUCUAUUGAAUAUAAUUUGCCUUUUUGCUUAUGUUUAAUUUAUGCUGGCUUUCCUGUGAUUGCUAUAGUAAAUAUUUUUAAAAA